UACGUAGGGUGCAAGCGUUGUCCGGAAUUAUUGGGCGUAAAGAGCUCGUAGGCGGUUUGUCGCGUCUGCUGUGAAAACUCGGGGCUUAACUCCGGGCCUGCAGUGGGUACGGGCAGACUAGAGUGCGGUAGGGGAGACUGGAAUUCCUGGUGUAGCGGUGAAAUGCGCAGAUAUCAGGAGGAACACCGAUGGCGAAGGCAGUUCUCUGGGCCGUGAACUGACGCUGAGGAGCGAAAGCGUGGGGAGCGAACAGG
rnacentral:rRNA from 1 species